AUCCAUCAGUUGACUAUGGAGAUGCACUGUAGGAAAACUCACUCGUACCGAGCUGGUUUGCUACUAUUGAAUGAUGGGAGUAUCUUGCACCAUGAUAACGCACGGUCUCCUAAGGCUCAUAUUGUGAACACUUUUUUGACCAAAAACUAGACAAACAUCAUCGAACAACUACCGUAUUCACCGGAUUUAAGCCCCUGUGACUUUUUCUUCUCCAAAACUUAAAUUGUCACUCCGCGGACGCCGCUUUGAGUCGAUAGAGGCCAUUAAGGAGAAUUCGCUGAAAGAAGCAGCACAAAUAUUUGCUUUUAAAAUCAAGACGCAACUCCGUGAUAUCGGUUGGGAACGCAAGGCAGUGAAGGCGGACGUAUUAUAACGAACCGCCGGCAACGACAUUUGAAUGAAACAUUCACUACAAUAUCGCACAGAAAACAAGACUUUAGUAGCCAGCAGAACAGGAACUUGGAUGCCAGUGCCUGUUGUGCCUUCGGACAUAAACACGGCUCU